GUGGGGAAUAUUGGACAAUGGGCGCAAGCCUGAUCCAGCAAUGCCGCGUGGGUGAAGAAGGCCUUCGGGUUGUAAAGCCCUUUUGUACGGAAAGAAAUCCUGGUGGUUAAUACCCGCCGGGGAUGACGGUACCGUAAGAAUAAGCACCGGCUAACUUCGUGCCAGCAGCCGCGGUAAUACGAAGGGUGCAAGCGUUAAUCGGAAUUACUGGGCGUAAAGCGUGCGUAGGUGGUUUCUUAAGUCUGUCGUGAAAGCCCUGGGCUCAACCUGGGAAUGGCGAUGGAUACUGGGAGGCUAGAGUGCGGUAGAGGAUGGCGGAAUUCCCGGUGUAGCGGUGAAAUGCGUAGAGAUCGGGAGGAACAUCUGUGGCGAAGGCGGCCAUCUGGACCAGCACUGACACUGAGGCACGAAAGCGUGGGGAGCAAACAGGAUUAGAAACCCGUGUAGUCC
rnacentral:rRNA from 1 species